rnacentral:rRNA from 1 species
AGGGGAAUAUUGCACAAUGGGCGAAAGCCUGAUGCAGCGACGCCGCGUGAGGGAUGACGGCCUUCGGGUUGUAAACCUCUUUCAGCAGGGACGAAGCGCAAGUGACGGUACCUGCAGAAGAAGCACCGGCUAACUACGUGCCAGCAGCCGCGGUAAUACGUAGGGUGCAAGCGUUGUCCGGAAUUACUGGGCGUAAAGAGUUCGUAGGCGGUUUGUCGCGUCGUUUGUGAAAACCAGCAGCUCAACUGCUGGCUUGCAGGCGAUACGGGCAGACUUGAGUACUGCAGGGGAGACUGGAAUUCCUGGUGUAGCGGUGAAAUGCGCAGAUAUCAGGAGGAACACCGGUGGCGAAGGCGGGUCUCUGGGCAGUAACUGACGCUGAGGAACGAAAGCGUGGGUAGCGAACAGG